CUGGCGGCGUGCUUAACACAUGCAAGUCGAACGAAGAGCGAUGGAAGCUUGCUUCUAUCAAUCUAGUGGCGAACGGGUGAGUAACGCGUAAUCAACCUGCCCCUUCAGAGGGGGACGAACAGUUGAACGACUGCUAAUACCGCAUACGAUCCAACCUCGGCAUCAGGAUGGAUGAAAGUGGCCUCAUUUAUAAGCUAUCACUGAAGAGGGGAUUGCGUCUGAUUAGCUAGUUGGAGGGGUAACGGCCCACCAAGGCAAUGAUCAGUAGCCGGUCUGAGAGGAUGAACGGCCACAUUGGGACUGAGACACGGCCCAGACUCCUACGGGAGGCAGCAGUGGGGAAUCUUCCGCAAUGGACGAAAGUCUGACGGAGCAACGCCGCGUGAGUGAUGACGGCCUUCGGGUUGUAAAGCUCUGUUAAUCGAGACGAAAGGUCCUCUUGCGAAUAGUUAGAGGAAUUGACGGUACCGGAAUAGAAAGCCACGGCUAACUACGUG
rnacentral:rRNA from 1 species